AUUGAACGCUGGCGGCAUGCCUUACACAUGCAAGUCGAACGGCAAGGCACGGGAGCCAAUCCUGGUGGCGGGUGGCGAACGGGUGAGUAAUACAUCGGAACGUGCCCAGUAGUGGGGGAUAACCCGGCGAAAGCCGGACUAAUACCGCAUACGACCUACGGGUGAAAGCAGGGGAUCGCAAAGACCUUGCGCUAUUGGAGCGGCCGAUGUCAGAUUAGCUAGUUGGUGGGGAAAGGCCUACCAAGGCGACGAUCUGUAGCUGUCUGAGAGGACGACCAGCCACACUGGGACUGAGACACGGCCC
rnacentral:rRNA from 1 species